rnacentral:lncRNA from 1 species
GCAUGAUAAACCAGCGGCUGACUGGUCUUUGGUCUGCUUGUUGGCUCUGGCUGGAGAACGGGCCCCACUGCCACCACCUUCCUGCGCAGACGCCACUCCGAGUCGUUCGCUGAUUAGACUCCGCAAUCUCGCGGAGUCCAGGUGGCAGCCGCUGCCAAUUAUUCUGUUGUACGGGAGACCGCUUACUUUCCAUGUUACCCAAGACAAAAUAUCAACUAAAGAUCAUCAUAAUUUGCGAACAUCGAUUUUCUUCCGGUCUUCGAGAAUAUGAGGAGGAGUUAUUAAUUAGCGAAGAUAGUGGUAUAACUUCG